rnacentral:rRNA from 1 species
CGUGCUUAACACAUGCAAGUCGAGCGGUAAGGCCCUUCGGGGUACACGAGCGGCGAACGGGUGAGUAACACGUGGGUGAUCUGCCUCGUACUCUGGGAUAAGCCUGGGAAACUGGGUCUAAUACCGGAUAUGACCACGAGUCGCAUGGUUUGUGGUGGAAAGAUUUAUCGGUGCGAGAUGGGCCCGCGGCCUAUCAGCUUGUUGGUGGGGUAAUGGCCUACCAAGGCGACGACGGGUAGCCGGCCUGAGAGGGCGACCGGCCACACUGGGACUGAGACACGGCCCAGACUCCUACGGGAGGCAGCAGUGGGGAAUAUUGCACAAUGGGCGGAAGCCUGAUGCAGCGACGCCGCGUGCGGGAUGACGGCCUUCGGGUUGUAAACCGCUUUCGACAGGGACGAAGCGUGAGUGACGGUACCUGUAGAAGAAGCACCGGCCAACUACGUGCCAGCAGCCGCGGUAAUACGUAGGGUGCGAGCGUUGUCCGGAAUUACUGGGCGUAAAGAGCUUGUAGGCGGUUUGUCGCGUCGUUCGUGAAAACUUGGGGCUCAACCCCAAGCUUGCGGGCGAUACGGGCAGACUAGAGUACUGCAGGGGAGACUGGAAUUCCUGGUGUAGCGGUGAAAUGCGCAGAUAUCAGGAGGAACACCGGUGGCGAAGGCGGGUCUCUGGGCAGUAACUGACGCUGAGAAGCGAAAGCGUGGGUAGCGAACAGGAUUAGAUACCCUGGUAGUCCACGCCGUAAACGGUGGGUACUAGGUGUGGGUUUCCUUCCACGGGAUCCGUGCCGUAGCUAACGCAUUAAGUACCCCGCCUGGGGAGUACGGCCGCAAGGCUAAAACUC